GAUGAACGCUGGCGGCGUGCCUAAUACAUGCAAGUCGAGCGAACAGAUGAGGAGCUUGCUCCUCUGACGUUAGCGGCGGACGGGUGAGUAACACGUGGAUAACCUACCUAUAAGACUGGGAUAACUUCGGGAAACCGGAGCUAAUACCGGAUAAUAUAUUGAACCGCAUGGUUCAAUAGUGAAAGACGGUUUUGCUGUCACUUAUAGAUGGAUCCGCGCCGCAUUAGCUAGUUGGUAAGGUAACGGCUUACCAAGGCGACGAUGCGUAGCCGACCUGAGAGGGUGAUCGGCCACACUGGAACUGAGACACGGUCCAGACUCCUACGGGAGGCAGCAGUAGGGAAUCUUCCGCAAUGGGCGAAAGCCUGACGGAGCAACGCCGCGUGAGUGGUGAAGGUCUUCGGAUCGUAAAACUCUGUUAUUAGGGAAGAACAAAUGUGUAAGUAACUAUGCACGUCUUGACGGUACCUAAUCAGAAAGCCACGGCUAACUACGUG
rnacentral:rRNA from 1 species